rnacentral:rRNA from 1 species
GACGAACGCUGGCGGCGUGCCUAAUACAUGCAAGUCGAACGCAGUGGGGACGGGUGAGUAACACGUGGGUAACCUCCCAUCAGAGGGGAUAACACUUGGAAACAGGUGCUAAACCGAUAUUGAUGGAUGGACCCGCGGUGCAUUAGCUAGUUGGUGAGGUAACGGCCCACCAAGGCCACGAUGCAUAGGCGGCCUGAAGGGGUGUAUGGCCAAACUGGGAAUGAGAAACGGCCCCGAAUCCCACGGGAGGGAGCAGGAGGGAAUUUUCGGCAAUGGGCGGAAGUCUGGACGGAGCACGGCGCGUGAAUGAAGGAGGUUUUCGGGUUGUAAAACUCUGUUGUUAGAGAAGCGGUAUCUAACCAGAAAGCCACGGCUAACUACGUGCCAGCAGCCGCGGUAAUAC